CAAGGAAUUUUCUGCAAUGGGCGCAAGCCUGACAGAGCAACGCCGCGUGGGGGAUGAAGCACUUCGGUGUGUAAACCCCUUUUCCCUGGGACGAAGCCAAUGACGGUACCAGGGGAAGAAGGACCGGCUAACUACGUGCCAGCAGCCGCGGUAACACGUAGGGUCCGAGCGUUGUCCGGAAUUACUGGGCGUAAAGCGCGCGCAGGCGGUCGAUUCAGUCGCUGGUGAAAGCCCCACGCUCAACGUGGGAAGGUCCGGCGAGACGGGUCGACUGGAGGCAGGGAGAGGUCGGUGGAAUUCCGGGUGUAGUGGUGAAAUGCGUAGAGAUCCGGAGGAACACCAGAGGCGAAGGCGGCCGACUGGACCUGACCUGACGCUGAGGCGCGAAGGCGUGGGGAGCGAACGGG
rnacentral:rRNA from 1 species